UCACCAAUAUAUACAUGAUGAUACAACACAUCUGGCAUAGUGGCUGGCCUGUAAAUGUUAAAAGAUUUGUUGAAUGAAUGAAUGAACUAAUAACAUGGGUGUCUCACCAAUGGGUUUCAGCCCUGGGCAAGUUCACUCUGGAUUCAAUGAGACUGAAAAAUGACAGUGGAAUGUUCUUGGGGUGAAAGGGUUUUUACCCAACUUUAUUCACAUGAUGGUAGGUCAAUCACUAGAAUCCCAUCCACUGAGAGUGAGUCUGCGUGCAGCAAGCCCGUCUCUGCCUCUGGGCCUCUCUGCCCCCACAGCCGUCUCAGUCUCUGUCCUUGGCACUGCCACCACUCCAGCCUCUGCUCUCCUGCAGCCAUGCCACCGUGUCAUCCAGAGCACUGGGCGGAGCUCUUUAUAUAGUGUCAAUAACAAUGCCUUGUCCACACAUGUGUAGUGAGCUAGCUAACAGGGCCAGGUGAGAAUCCUGGCCACAGGAACCUUCAGUUUAUCUGCAAUGGAACUUUUAGUUGGAAGGGGAAAAAAAGGAUUAUCAGAUGCAUGGCACAAAUGGAAGUUUCUGGUUCUGACAAUUUAGGGAACACCUCCAGAAACUUGCUGCGUGUGUUUGUUUUGAUGACGUUGACAUAUUAGAAUGCCUGGAGGAGAAAUGCACAGCUGGAAGAGUAUGCCACAAAGUGCUCUGGACCCUCUCACAGCUGCCAUAAGGUGCUAUAUCCCAGGAUAAAAGGCACCUUAAUGCAUCCAGAGAUAGAACAACUCAGAUUGGAUGGACAUGUCUGGGAGCACCCAAUGCUACUAUUUUCAUCUUAGAUUAGAGUCUUCCUCCCUUCUGUCUAGAGAUGGUAGUGGAUUAUUUAGGCAGGAAAAUGUGGUCAGGAGAGGAAGCUCAGCAAUAAACAAGUCAUCCUGUCCCCUGUUCCACUUUCCUUUUAUUCAAGAAAACAGCUGACAAAAUUUGCUGUUGGCUUCUUAAGUGGUGUCUUCCAACAGCAGCAGGUGGGUGGGGGGGCUAUUUUAUCCCUAGCAGCACAUAAGCAAAUUGAUUUUAAAAUGUAUACAUUUAACACAUGUUCCUAAAAGCAUUAUCAUUUGGUAAACAGUAUGGCUAGGUGUCCUUAAAUUACUCUAGUCACUUUUAGCACUAAUUUUUCUAAUUUUUAAAAAAGUAUCCAUCUGCCCUUUAGUGAUAUUUGAGAUAUGCCACCACACAAAUGCAGUUUCACACAUAUUCAUAAAAAUCUAAUUUUCUGGAUAUAGCUGAGUUCCAGUGGACUUUUCCAAUAAAGUGGGUGAGUUGAAACCGGGUCCCAGAUGCAGUUAACUCCAAAGCCCAGGCUCUCUCUUGUGUAUUGCGCUGCCCUCAUCUAACCCAUUUCUAGAAAGCCAGUUUUAAGAUUGCCAUCCUUAAUGUCCAAUUUCUGAGCAGGCCUCCUCUAGGGUUAUGAGAACAGAAACUUCUGCUUCAGGAAUUAUACAACAGGCUCACUAACAAUUUGCAUAUUAACUAAACUUUCUGCCCUAUGACCUGUGACAUGACCCAUAUUGGGCUGUGGAUACAAGACCAACAUUAUUUCCAGCCAGUUUUCUUCUAAGCACUUAG